rnacentral:siRNA from 1 species
AGGAGUGUCAAAAUGAGUAACC